GUGGACGCUGGCGGUAGGCCUAACACAUGCAAGUCGAACGGCAGCACAGUAAGAGCUUGCUCUUACGGGUGGCGAGUGGCGGACGGGUGAGGAAUACAUCGGAAUCUACUUUUUCGUGGGGGAUAACGUAGGGAAACUUACGCUAAUACCGCAUACGACCUACGGGUGAAAGCAGGGGAUCUUCGGACCUUGCGCGAUUGAAUGAGCCGAUGUCGGAUUAGCUAGUUGGCGGGGUAAAGGCCCACCAAGGCGACGAUCCGUAGCUGGUCUGAGAGGAUGAUCAGCCACACUGGAACUGAGACACGGUCCAGACUCCUACGGGAGGCAGCAGUGGGGAAUAUUGGACAAAGGGCGCAAGCCUGAUCCAGCCAUACCGCGUGGGUGAAGAAGGCCUUCGGGUUGUAAAGCCCUUUUGUUGGGAAAGAAAAGCAGCAGGUUAAUACCCCGCUGUUCUGACGGUACCCAAAGAAUAAGCACCGGCUAACUUCGUG
rnacentral:rRNA from 1 species